rnacentral:rRNA from 1 species
AUUGAACGCUGGCGGCAGGCCUAACACAUGCAAGUCGAACGGUAACAGGAAGCAGCUUGCUGCUUCGCUGACGAGUGGCGGACGGGUGAGAAAUGUCUGGGAAGCUGCUUGAUGUAGGGGGAUAACUACUGGAAACGGUAGCUAAUACCGCAUAAUUUCGCAAGACCAAAGAGGGGGGGCUACGGGCGUCUUGCCAUCAGAUGUGCCCGGGUGGUAAUCGAUUGUUGGUGGGGUUAGCGCUCCACAAGGCGAAGGGCCAGUGCUGGUGUGAGAGUGUGGACGGCCACACGGGGAGUUAAACACGGUCCAGGCUACUACGGUAGGCAGCAGUGGGGAAUAGUGCGCAAUGGGCGCGAGCCUGAUGCAGCGAGGCCGCGUGUAUGAAGAAAACCUUCGGGUUGUAAAGUACUUUCAGCGGGGAGAAAGGGAGUAAAGUUGAUACCUUUGCUCAUUGACGUUACCCGCAGAAGAAGCACCGGCUAACUCCGUG